GAUGAACGCUGGCGGCGUGCCUAAUACAUGCAAGUCGAGCGAACAGACGAGGAGCUUGCUCCUCUGACGUUAGCGGCGGACGGGUGAGUAACACGUGGAUAACCUACCUAUAAGACUGGGAUAACUUCGGGAAACCGGAGCUAAUACCGGAUAAUAUAUUGAACCGCAUGGUUCAAUAGUGAAAGACGGUUUUGCUGUCACUAAUAGAUGGAUCCGCGCCGAAUUAGCUAGUUGGUAAGGUAACGGCUUACCAAGGCGACGAUGCGUAGCCGACCUGAGAGGGUGAUCGGCCACACUGGAACUGAGACACGGUCCAGACUCCUACGGGAGGCAGCAGUAGGGAAUCUUCCGCAAUGGGCGAAAGCCUGACGGAGCAACGCCGCGUGAGUGAUGAAGGUCUUCGGAUCUUAAAACUCUGUUAUUAGGGAAGAACAAAUGUGUAAGUAACUAUGCACGUCUUGACGGUACCUAAUCAGAAAGCCACGGCUAACUACGUG
rnacentral:rRNA from 1 species